rnacentral:rRNA from 1 species
GGUAUGGGAUGAGCUUGCGUCCGAUUAGCUAGUUGGCGGGGCAACAGCCCACCAAGGCGACGAUCGGUAGCCGGCCUGAGAGGGUGAUCGGCCACAUUGGGACUGAGAUACGGCCCAGACUCCUACGGGAGGCAGCAGUAGGGAAUAUUGCACAAUGGGGGGAACCCUGAUGCAGCAACGCCACGUGUGGGAAGAAGCAUUUCGGUGUGUAAACCACUGUCGUGAGGGAAUAAUACGCGGUUUCGGCCGCGGGGGAAUGUACCUCGAAAGGAAGCACCGGCAAACUUCGUGCCAGCAGCCGCGGUGAUACGAGGGGUGCAAGCGUUGUUCGGAAUCACUGGGCGUAAAGGGAGCGUAGGCGGAGGAGCAAGCAAUCUGUACAAUACCGGGGCCCAACCCCGGACCUGCAGAUUGGACUGCUUCUCUUGGAUAGUUCAGGGGCAGGC